GUCUGUAGCUCAGUCGGUUAGAGCACCGUCUUGAUAAGGCGGGGGUCGUUGGGUCUAAUCCCACCACAC
rnacentral:tRNA from 1 species